ensembl:lncRNA
CAGCCCCUCCAGCAGAACUUCCUCAUUGGUCGGCAAGAGAAAACAAAGCUGGGCUCUGAUUGGUGACAGCUCUGUAGUUCCUCCUCCUACCCGCAGUCCCCGCAAGUUCCGCCCCUGCCCGCCUGGUUCGCUAGCCCUUGGUUCCCCACACCCAGGUGGCUGCAGGCUGGGGUGUGUUUCAUGGACGAGCAACCUCCCUGAAGAGAACCCCGUUUCCCAGGUUCAUUCGCCAGAUGCGCAUUUUCUUAAACUCCUGCGAUUCUCUAAUUUCAGUAUGAACUUGAGACACCAGUAAAAUGAGCAUUCAUUCAUUAAGCCAAUCCAUCAGGAAUACAUCCAGGAAGAACCUACUGUUUACUAGGAAUAGGUUAGAUCUGUGGAUAUAACAAUGAAUAAGACAAGACUCUGGUGGAUCUAUAGAGAAACUAUUACUGCACAGAUGAUGGGGAAAUCAAAAGUACUAUGGGGCCAAGGAGACUGUCCUGCAGCAAAUGAGGAAUAAGCUGAAAAAUCAGUAGGAGCCAUCCCAGAGAAAAGGGACAGGGUUCUAGACCCAGAGAACAACAGAAGAGCAUUCAGCUCCUGCGAGGGAGCAGGGAAUCUAAUGCAAAGCCAUAGGGACCAUUGCAUAACGAGUCAACUUUCCCCACAUCACAAGCUUGCCUAGCCUGGAUGGACCCAGAAUGUUAAAACAAAUGUCUAAUUAGUAACGACAUUCUGAAUGCCUGGGAGCUGGGCAAAAUAUGAGGAGAAGCAAGCUGAUUUUUGUUUCGUAUUAUUAUCUCCUUUAUUCCAGCAACAAAAGACACUGAAAAGAGUAAAUGCCCACUUUUAACCAUGACAAUCCUUUUAGGAUAGUAACAGUGAGCAGUAUUAAUCCUGUUUGACCAGAACUAGGACAGAGUUAAAGCCCCUGGAGUAGAGAUCUGUUCUAUUAGCCCCAGCCUUUCUGUCUGCUUCUUGGCAUGGCUGUCUUUAUCAGUUGAGCCUCCAGCGUUAGCAGAUACCUAUAAGGGAAGACAGCCAGCCCUCACUAUGGAGGGCCAGAAAGAGAAAGCGCCAAGCAUUAGGAAAUGUCAAAGUAUCUCAGUACAUCCAGCCGAUUAGUGACAGAUAAGUCAAAAUUUGCAGCAACUAAAUAAAUCAAAAAGUAAGAAGAUUUUAAAAUAUGAUGUUUGAAAUAUUUGGCACAAUGCUUCAAAGUCACUGAAAAGCUAUCUCUUCACCCUAAUAGACGACAGAAAUUCAUUAUGUAAAUAGAAGAGGCUGCGUACAGUAGCCCAUGCCCAUAAUCUCAACACUUUUGGAGGCCAAGGUGGAAGGAUUACUUGAGGCCAGGAGAUCAAGACCAGCCUGAGCAACAUAGCAAGACAUCUUUUAAAAAAUUUUAAAAUUAGCCAGGUAUGGUGAUACGCAGCUGUAGUCCUAGCUACUCAGGAGGCUGAGGUGGGAGGAUUGCUUGAGGCCAGGAGUUCUAGGCUGCAGUGAACAGAGAUUGUGCCACUGCUUUCCAGCCUGGGCAACAGAGUAUAGAUGAUAGAUCGAUAAUAGAUAGUUGAUAGAUAAUAGAUAGUUGAUAGAUAGAUAAUAGAAAGCUGAUAGAUAGAUUAGAUGUAUAGUAGAACCCAUAGGGCAAAAAU